rnacentral:rRNA from 1 species
GACGAACGCUGGCGGCGUGCUUAACACAUGCAAGUCGAACGGGAGUACUUUGAAAGCUUGCUGAUAAGUACUUUAGUGGCGGACGGGUGAGUAACGCGUGAGGAGCUGUCUUAUGCAGGGGGACAACAGUUGGAAACGGCUGCUAAUACCCCAUAAGCCGAGAGGUAAAAGGAGCAAUCCGGCAGAGGAGGUACUCGCGUCCUAUCAGCUAGUAGGUUGGGUAACGGCCGACCUAGGCGAAGACGGGUAGCCGGCCUGAGAGGGCGAACGGCCACACUGGAACUGAGAUACGGUCCAGACUCCUACGGGAGGCAGCAGUGGGGAAUAUUGGGCAAUGGGGGGAACCCUGACCCAGCGACGCCGCGUGGGUGAAGAAAUCCUUCGGGAUGUAAAGCCCUGUUGUAUGGGAAGAGCAGAAGACGGUACCAUACGAGGAAGCCCCCGGCAAACUACGUG